ACCGCUGACCUCUCUUAGCACUCUUCAUCUCCUUUCUCUGAUUAUCUUCCUCUCGCUCUUAAAUACGUAUACACGUGGCUCCCAGUCAGCUGACUGUGAACAAUAUGCCCAUUCCCACAGCUCUACCAUGGGAAUCAUUCCCACACUGUCUCCCUAGCUUCAGAACCAAGGUUCCCACACACCCGCAAUCCAUGUGCCAAGAUGUGCUAUCUCUUCCCAUUCUUAAAACAAUCCUGGCCAGAAGGUUCUUUCUGGAUACUGCGCCUGGCCCCGAUUGCCACAUUUUAUACACUACAGAAGGUUCUCUCUGGAUACUAGUUAGACACACACACACACACAAAAAGCCAUUUUGAUCUUGUUAUGAACUAUAUAUUCUCCCAUG
rnacentral:lncRNA from 1 species